ensembl:snRNA U1 U1 spliceosomal RNA
ACACUUAAUGGCAGGAGAAAUACCGUGGUCAUGAAGGUGGUUUUCCUAGAGCAAGGCUCAUCAAUGCACGCUGGAUGCGCUGACCCCUGCAAUUUCCCCAAAUGUGAGAAACUCAACUGGCAUAAUUCGUGGUAGUGAGAGACUGUGUUUGCACUUUCCCCUG